rnacentral:rRNA from 1 species
AGUGAACACUGGCGGUAGGCCUAACACAUGCAAGUCGAACGGCAGCACAGUAAGAGCUUGCUCUUACGGGUGGCGAGUGGCGGACGGGUGAGGAAUACAUCGGAAUCUACUUUUUCGUGGGGGAUAACGUAGGGAAACUUACGCUAAUACCGCAUACGACCUACGGGUGAAAGCAGGGGACCUUCGGACCUUGCGCGAUUGAAUGAGCCGAUGUCGGAUUAGCUAGUUGGCGGGGUAAAGGCCCACCAAGGCGACGAUCCGUAGCUGGUCUGAGAGGAUGAUCAGCCACACUGGAACUGAGACACGGUCCAGACUCCUACGGGAGGCAGCAGUGGGGAAUAUUGGACAAUGGGCGCAAGCCUGAUCCAGCCAUACCGCGUGGGUGAAGAAGGCCUUCGGGUUGUAAAGCCCUUUUGUUGGGAAAGAAAAGCAGCAGGUUAAUACCCCGCUGUUCUGACGGUACCCAAAGAAUAAGCACCGGCUAACUUCGUG